rnacentral:rRNA from 1 species
CAGCCGCCGCGGUAAUACGUAGGGUGCGAGCGUUAAUCGGAAUUACUGGGCGUAAAGCGUGCGCAGGCGGUUGUGUAAGACAGGUGUGAAAUCCCCGGGCUUAACCUGGGAACUGCGCUUGUGACUGCACAGCUAGAGUACGGCAGAGGGGGGUGGAAUUCCACGUGUAGCAGUGAAAUGCGUAGAGAUGUGGAGGAACGCCGAUGGCGAAGGCAGCCCCCUGGGCCAAUACUGACGCUCAUGCACGAAAGCGUGGGGAGCAAACAGGAUUAGAUACCCGAGUAGUCCCUGUCUCUUAUAC